AAUUGAAGCUGCUCCGUGAGACAAAGAAGGACGAAGGCUAACUACUUCCAGAAUCCCGAUUUUAAAGCAAUUUGGUGCGCCAUCCAUUUAUCACAAGUUGGCUGUUAUAAAGUUUCCAAACUGACCAAAGACCAACGAAUGACUUCUAAAGAAGGGUGGAUUUAUUUGUAGUUUAGUUAAACAAUAAUUUGCCCCGUCAGUGAUAUGGUUUGAAUGCUGCCUGAACGUUCCGAAUUUGGCAGACACGGUGAGGACAAUGCUGAGGAAAAUUGCCACAACAAAGUCCUGGAGCAGCUUGGCCUCCGUGGAAAGUCAGGAAAAGUGGCGUUUGAGGACUUGCCCCUUUACAGAAUAAUAAAUAAGGCAUGCAGGGGUGUUUACAAGCAGAUGACCACAGCUGAAGUGGAUUGUGAGCUUGGAGAGGUCCUGAAACUGGCCACUUUUCGAAAGGGAGGUUCAAAAUUUGAGGAGAAGAGGAGGAAUUAAGAGGGAGGACAAAAAAGGAAAAAGAAACAAGCAAAAGAACAGAGUGAGAUGAGAGGAUUUGGGUUUCCCUGCUUGGGCUGCUGCCCCCGCGACCCGACCUCGGAUAAGCGGAAGAAGAUGGAUGGAUGGAUGGAUGGAUGGAUGGAUGGAUGGAUGGAUUUACUUCCAGGAAGAGAACCAAGAAGGGGCAGGAUACACUGACGCGCACGACCAAGACCACUGCAUUCCAUUCCAUUUAUAAAUGAUAAAUGGGUUAUAUGUCAAAGCGCUUUGAGUACCUUGAAGGUAGAAAAGCGCUAUACAAGUAUAGCGCUUUUCUACCUUCAAGGUACUCAAAGCGCAAUUGACAGUAUUUCCACAUUCACCCAUUCACACACACAUUCACACACUGAUGGAGGGAGCUGCCAUGCAAGGCGCUACCAGCACCCAUCAGGAGCAAGGGUGAAGUGUCUUGCCCAAGGACACAACGGACGUCCCUAGGAUGGAAGAAGGUGGGGAUUGAACCCCAGUAACCAUCAACCCUCCGAUUGCUGG